CGGGGCGUGGCGCAGCCUGGUAGCGCACUUGCAUGGGGUGCAAGGGGUCGGAGGUUCAAAUCCUCUCGCCCCGACCA
rnacentral:tRNA from 5 species